rnacentral:rRNA from 1 species
GAUGAACGCUGGCGGCGUGCCUAAUACAUGCAAGUCGAGCGAACAGACGAGGAGCUUGCUCCUCUGACGUUAGCGGCGGACGGGUGAGUAGCACGUGGAUAACCUACCUAUAAGACUGGGAUAACUUCGGGAAACCGGAGCUAAUACCGGAUAAUAUAUUGAACCGCAUGGUUCAAUAGUGAAAGACGGUUUUGCUGUCACUUAUAGAUGGAUCCACGCCGCAUUAGCUAGUUGGUAAGGUAACGGCUUACCAAGGCGACGAUGCGUAGCCGACCUGAGAGGGUGAUCGGCCACACUGGAACUGAGACACGGUCCAGACUCCUACGGGAGGCAGCAGUAGGGAAUCUUCCGCAAUGGGCGAAAGCCUGACGGAGCAACGCCGCGUGAGUGAUGAAGGUCUUCGGAUCGUAAAACUCUGUUAUUAGGGAAGAACAAAUGUGUAAGUAACUAUGCACGUCUUGACGGUACCUAAUCAGAAAGCCACGGCUAACUACGUG